GAGGGUGUAGCUCAAUCAGUAAAGUGCAUGCUUAGCAUGCAUGAGGUCCUGGGUUCAAUCCCCAGUACCUCCU
rnacentral:tRNA from 1 species